rnacentral:rRNA from 1 species
CUCCUACGGGAGGCAGCAGUAAGGAAUAUUGGUCAAUGGACGCAAGUCUGAACCAGCCAUGCCGCGUGGAGGACGAAGGCCCUCUGGGUUGUAAACUUCUUUUACUGGGGAAGAAACCCAUCUUUUCUAAGGUGGUUGACGGUACCCGAUGAAUAAGCACCGGCUAACUCCGUGCCAGCAGCCGCGGUAAUAC